rnacentral:rRNA from 1 species
GACGAACGCUGGCGGCGUGCUUAACACAUGCAAGUCGAACGCGCCUGUCCUCUGGGUUUCUGGGGGGUGGGUGAGUGGCGAACGGGUGAGUAACACGUGAGUAACCUGCCCCCUUCUUCGGGAUAACGGUCUGAAAGGGCUGCUAAUACCGGGUAUUCACUGGUCUCCGCAUGGGGUCUGGUGGAAAGGUUUUUUUCUGGUGGGGGAUGGGCUCGCGGCCUAUCAGCUUGUUGGUGGGGUGAUGGCCCACCAAGGCUUUGACGGGUAGCCGGCCUGAGAGGGUGGCCGGUCACAUUGGGACUGAGAUACGGCCCAGACUCCUACGGGAGGCAGCAGUGGGGAAUAUUGCACAAUGGGCGCAAGCCUGAUGCAGCGACGCCGCGUGAGGGAUGGAGGCCUUCGGGUUGUGAACCUCUUUCGCCCGUGGUCAAGCCGCGACGUGGGUCGUGGUGAGGGUAGUGGGUAAAGAAGCGCCGGCUAACUACGUG